rnacentral:rRNA from 1 species
AACGCUGGCGGCAGGCCUAACACAUGCAAGUCGAACGGUAACAGGAAGAAGCUUGCUUCUUUGCUGACGAGUGGCGGACGGGUGAGUAAUGUCUGGGAACCUGCCUGAUGGAGGGGGAUAACUACUGGAAACGGUAGCUAAUACCGCAUAACGUCGCAAGACCAAAGAGGGGGACCUUCGGGCCUCUUGCCAUCGGAUGUGCCCAGAUGGGAUUAGCUAGUAGGUGGGGUAACGGCUCACCUAGGCGACGAUCCCUAGCUGGUCUGAGAGGAUGACCAGCCACACUGGAACUGAGACACGGUCCAGACUCCUACGGGAGGCAGCAGUGGGGAAUAUUGCACAAUGGGCGCAAGCCUGAUGCAGCCAUGCCGCGUGUAUGAAGAAGGCCUUCGGGUUGUAAAGUACUUUCAGCGGGGAGGAAGGGAGUAAAGUUAAUACCUUUGCUCAUUGACGUUACCCGCAGAAGAAGCACCGGCUAACUCCGUGCCAGCAGCCGCGGUAAUACGGAGGGUGCAAGCGUUAAUCGGAAUUACUGGGCGUAAAGCGCACGCAGGCGGUUUGUUGAGUCAGAUGUGAAAUCCCCGGGCUCAACCUGGGAACUGCAUCUGAUACUGGCAAGCUUGAGUCUCGUAGAGGGGGGUAGAAUUCCAGGUGUAGCGGUGAAAUGCGUAGAGAUCUAGAGGAAUACCGGUGGCGAAGGCGGCCCCCUGGACGAAGACUGACGCUCAGAUGCGAAAGCGUGGGGAGCAAACAGGAUUGGGUUCCCUGGUAGUCCACGCCGUAAACGAUGUUCGACUUGGAGGUUGUGCCCUUGAGGGGUGGCUUUCCGGAGCUAACGCGUUAAGUCGACCGCCUGGGGAGUACGGCCGCAAGGUUAAAACUCAAAUGAAUUGACGGGGGCCCGCACAAGCGGUGGAGCAUGUGGUUUAAUUCGAUGCAACGCGAAGAACCUUACCUGGUCUUGACAUCCACGGAAGUUUUCAGAGAUGAGAAUGUGCCUUCGGGAACCGUGAGACAGGUGCUGCAUGGCUGUCGUCAGCUCGUGUUGUGAAAUGUUGGGUUAAGUCCCGCAACGAGCGCAACCCUUAUCCUUUAUUGCCAGUGGUCCGGCCGGGAACUCAAAGGAGACUGCCAGUGAUAAACUGGAGGAAGGUGGGGAUGACGUCAAGUCAUCAUGGCCCUUACGACCAGGGCUACACACGUGCUACAAUGGCGCAUACAAAGAGAAGCGACCUCGCGAGAGCAAGCGGACCUCAUAAAGUGCGUCGUAGUCCGGAUUGGAGUCUGCAACUCGACUCCAUGAAGUCGGAAUCGCUAGUAAUCGUGGAUCAGAAUGCCACGGUGAAUACGUUCCCGGGCCUUGUACACACCGCCCGUCACACCAUGGGAGUGGGUUGCAAAAGAAGUAGGUAGCUUAACCUUCGGGAGGGCGCUUACCACUUUGUGAUUCAUGACUGGGG